AUUGAACGCUGGCGGAAUGCUUUACACAUGCAAGUCGAACGGCAGCACGGGGCAACCUGGUGGCGAGUGGCGAACGGGUGAGUAAUGCAUCGGAACGUGCCCAGUAGUGGGGGAUAACCAGUCGAAAGACUGGCUAAUACCGCAUACGACCCAAGGGUGAAAGCGGGGGACCGUAAGGCCUCGCGCUAUUGGAGCGGCCGAUGUCUGAUUAGCUAGUUGGCGGGGUAAGAGCCCACCAAGGCGACGAUCAGUAGCUGGUCUGAGAGGACGACCAGCCACACUGGGACUGAGACACGGCCCAGACUCCUACGGGAGGCAGCAGUGGGGAAUUUUGGACAAUGGGCGCAAGCCUGAUCCAGCCAUGCCGCGUGCGGGAAGAAGGCCUUCGGGUUGUAAACCGCUUUUGGCAGGAACGAAACGGCGCAGGCCAAUACCUUGCGCUAAUGACGGUACCUGCAGAAUAAGCACCGGCUAACUACGUGCCAGCAGCCGCAGUAACAC
rnacentral:rRNA from 1 species